GGAUCACAGAAGAAUUUGGACGUGGAGGUCAUCUGGUCCUAUGCCCUACCCAAAGCAGGGCUGAAUCCAGAGUUAGAUCAACAAGUUCAAGACUCUACAGAUGCUGAUUGCAUCUUCCUAUAAAAAUAGGUUUUGUUCCUGUUACGGCUUAAAUUCAUCUUUACUGGAGAUUCAGAAAUGUUUUUGAACAACCCAGUAACUCAUGUCUUCCCAGUGACGUUACUGCUGUUCUCUUCAGUCCUGCUGGAGCUAUUCCUUGCUGUCUAGUACACUACAACAGGAAAAAGUUGCUAUGAGAAAUUAUCAAGAGAAUUUGGAGGAAGAAGCUCCUGGAAGGACUGGUGGUCUACUGGGAUCCAGAGGAAAUGAGUUGUGAAUUGGAAGGUUGGAUGGCUCUUUUCUCACAGUGAAGAUUAAUGGGAUAACGCAGCUACUGAUUAAAGGCAGCUGAAAAGGGAAUUAUCGACAGGAAGGGUCCAGUUCAUGCACUUGCUGUUUUCAGCAAGAGGCUUUCUGAAGUUAAGGAGGAGUGGAAUAUGUACUUGUUUUGGUAAAAUAGGAGCUGUAACAUGAAGGAGAUGGAUAUACUUCGCCACCGUGUUGUCUAGGUCACACACCUGUGCUCAAUAAUUUCCAUAAUUAUUACCACUGAUAAACCCUGUGCUAAUGGGUCAGCAAGGGCUCCAGAUGUUGCUCAUUUAAUGAUAAAGGCUCCAUACGUUUUUUAAGGGAGCAAGGGCCUCCCCAUGUGCAUCUGGGGUGGCAAAGCCUUGGAAUGUCAAAAUCAGUUCUAAAAAGAGUGACAGGAUUUAUCGGUCAAAUUUCAGAAGUUUGUGUAACUAUGCCAAGUGCCAAACUUCUUUAGAUAGCUCACAAAACUCUUUUUUUCCUCUUCAAAAUGACCUGGAACCAGACUUUUCUGAAACUUGGAUUUUUAUGCAUUUUAUUGUAGCGGUCACAGUAUACAAAUAAGUGCUAUAUAAACCAGAAUAACAAUUCAGAAAGAAAUUAGUGCUUUAACUAAAUCGUACAGUAAUACUGACACUUAUAAGUCAGCAAAUCUGAGGUUAUAAUGCUGAAUCCUAAUAUUUCCAUUUAGCCUGAUGUUUGACAGCAUUAGAAAAAAUGGUGAUGUCAAAAGGACUACUGUUCCUGCAGCUGACAGGGAAACCAUUUUAUAUAAUCAUUUCAGCCUACAAAAGAGGGUAAUUCCUUUGGACAUUGCUGGGUUUUAUUUUCAUAAAGAGUGAAUAAAUUAUCUCAGUCCAUUGGAUCAGAGGAUGUUAAGUUCAAAUCCUGUCGCUGGAAUAAUCACUACAAAAUAGUUCAGUGUUGAUUCUGCAAUUUGUGGGUAGUUUUGGUGGGAAAGGCAUUUUUCCAAGUUUACUCUCUUGAUGUGUUGAAAUUACAGAAAAAAUUGUCAAAAGGGUGGCCAAUGUAGUCAAAAUGGCAAUUGGCCAAAAUAUGGACAGUAAAAAGUAGACUACACUCAAUAAAAUACUGCCCUGCUGUUAGAUUUUCAUCUCUAGAAAAAGUCUAUGACAACGUAACUAGAUCUGGCUAUUUUUAUGAUUCUUAAGGUGUCUCCCUUAGAAGUCCUAGGUAAAGACUCUGUAUGAGCGUUAGGAAUCUCACACUGGGUUUCUACAAAAUUUAAAGGUGUUCUCUUGUGAAGUUCUGGGGAAAAUAAUGGUUUUCCAUAUCAAAGCAUAUGAUCCCUAUUACUUUAUUCAAUGUGGACUUUACUCAAUUCACAUUUCUAUAGGGUCUAAAAUUCAGAUUUAUUAGUUUUUUAUUUUAGUAUAUUUUUAAACAAUCGGUUAUUUGGAAAGUGAAGAGUAGUUGUUUAUUAGUUUACAUGCAACUUUAUAGAGAAAAUGAUCAGUAAAACAGUGCAGAAGUACAGAAAUAAGAAAUGCCUACUUUUUAAUGAUUAAUUAAUAUUAAUUUGUGGAGGUGAGGUUUCUCCUUUCAUGCCCUUCUAUUGUGACGAUCUUUGUCCUUGAGGAAGCAGAAAGGUAGUUCUGGGUUUUUCCUUGUUGGAAGUGUAACAUUAGUGAUCACAGCCAACGUGUGCUCACCCCUGAAAACCAGCUACCGGCACUUACCACUCUGCCAUUUUGCACACAGCAGAUGCAAAAAGCACAGCAAAUGGAAUGCCAGUUUAUUUGAUAUGCAAACUGGACUUUUGUUGAUUGUUUCCUUUUCAAGGUCAAAAAUAGAAAUCUAAUAGCAAAAAUUUCACUAAGCAAUGUAUAAAAAAAAUUUCUUUUUUUUUUUUUGCAGCUAAUGAGAACAUAGGAAAAAGCCUUUGAGUUAAUCCUUGGUGAUGAGAAGAUAACUGCUGGGCCACAGUUAGCCCUGGGUUUGUCUCUACCACAACGAGUGGGAUUCUAUUUAGAUUGAUUUUGCCUUAAAUCCCUAAAGGGUGGGAACACGUAAAGCGGUGCCACCGUUGUUGACAAUUUUUUUGUAUAUCACACCAAACAACCUUUUUUGCAUCUUAUUCAUUUGUUUGGUUUUAUGUGAAGCAAUUCUUUUCACAGACAGUCCGUUUUCAGCAUCCUGCAAGAUUCAUGUCAGUUAGAACAACGGAGGAGUCACAGAGAUUUGAGUGGCGAGUAGCUCACUGUUUUGUUAUGGUUGUGGCUAAUUACUCUUCAAGCUCUGCUACUUCACAGGGAUUUCACUCUUAGGGUCUCUAAACAGAAAUCUGUUAGUUUUGGCAGCCUCUGGUCUGCUGUGUAACAUUCAUCAGUGUCUUUCUCUGGCAUUUCAAAGGCAACACUUACAUGCAAUGGUUUUGCUGUGAAACAAAACAGAGGAGGAGUAUUGUGGUGUUGAAAACACAUUUCACAGAGUUGUUACAGUUUUUUUGGAAGGAUGCCUUUUAUUUAAUUAAUCUUUGUGCAAUUCGGUUUUGCUUUUUUCCCCUCUCUGUUUUAUUGUUCUCUGAAGGAUUUGGUCCCCAGAGUCAGCUCCGGGGAAAGGUCUUCUGGAUAAGAUUGUGGUGCCUUCUACCUGGUGCGUUUCCCUGAGCCCUUCAUGAUUAGCAGUGUGGUGCACAGGCUUACUGCGAACGAUCAAACGGUCUGUUUUCUUUUCCCUUGAGGUGAACCGCAUUUGCUUGUAUAAGAAAGCAAAACCUCCACAGUAGACCUGAAAAACAGCCUACUGCUUUGGAGAGGGCUCUAAUAGGCAUCGAUGUAAAACCCUGACCCCUGUUAAUGUGAUUCUAUUGCCACGAAGCCUCCUUUAGACAUUUAUUUAUUACAGAUGUAUUUAUUAUAUGAAUAGGUGAUGCCAGCAUGCUCUGCUGGAUUAAAGGUUGUUGAGCUAACUUAUUAUUUUAGAUAGAUUUAUUUUCUUCUGAAUGUAGUUACACACCAGUCCAGUGAAAUGAGCACAGUGGAAAGUCUCACUCCACGGCUUUGAUGGACUAAACUGGUGCCAUCCACACUCUGCAGACAAGGGCUAAAGAAACUGGGACAUUCUCAUGACGUUACAGAAUGACUGCUUAGGUGUUAAGUAAUUUCUGUGGUAGACAAGCACCUGGAAGCAAAGUAGGAGUUUGACUUUGGCAGAAUUAUGGCUGAACUCAUUGUCCGGGCUGGGAUCUAUCCAGACACCUCAUGGCUUUGGCUACAUCUAAAUAAACAGCUCUGAAUGCUGACUUAGAGAUAUUAAUGGGUUUCUUGCAUCAUUUACGACUAUGUGCAGUGUCAAUUGUGCUGUAACAAAUCCACCACAUAAAUCAGGUGUGUGUUUUGGCAUGGUCAAUCCUGCAUGGAAGACAGCUUUUAAGUGAGGAAAAGAAAAAUUGCCUCAUAAAUGUCAGAAAGAUACUCCCUCCAUCAGACUCCCAGAAAAAGAGAAAAAAACCCUAGCGGUCCAGCAGGGUUACCAUCCAUGAAUAUUAAGGAACUAAAUGUACUUUCAAAAUAAUUUUUCAUCAUCAUUACUAUGCAGUCUGAGAGAUCAAAAAUGAAGUUGGCAUAACUUUCUUUUAUUAUAUAGAGAGCUUAUAUACAUCUACGUGUGCGUACUUGUCACCUGGCAACCUGACUGCAGUUUAUUUAAACUCUUUGAUGGAUGAUAUAUGUCUAAUGUUUUGUUUAAGCUCUAUUUGCAAGGUAGCUACUGGCUGGGUAUAGCUGCAACUGUAAGGUUGAAAGGAAGAUAAAAAUCACGUUAAGGAGAAAGAAUGUCCUCAUUUUCAUGCCUGAUGGAUGCGUGUCCUCAUUAGCAUAACUGAAUUUGUGGAGAGGUGGAAUGAUAUUAACAACACAUGACUGGUGACACUGUCAGAGAUGAUAACUUGUUAACCUCCCGAUCGUGGGCUUGAGCUCUCAGUUGUUUUUUUCUUCUAGUAAAGUCUGCAUGAGCUCAAAGGCUAACAGGUUUUUGAGGAACAAUUUCUACUUAUUUUGAUCUAGAAUACUGGCAAUUUCAAAACGAGUUUGACCUAUGACUUCUGCAACCUUGAUCCAUCCUGUGUAUCCAAAGCCUGUGCAUUUAGACCCACAAAAGUCAGUGAAAAAAGGUUCUUCCAGGGGACUAUUCAGAAGCUACAUCAUGAUUUGGAACCUUCUCUCCAUCCACUGGCCGCAGGAGGAACACAAAGCUGGGUUCUAUUCUUCUGAGAUCAGUCUGUGAAAUGGGCAUUCGGGAUAUUUGAUGCUAGACCCCAGACCAGCUCUUUGACCAAGUUAUACCAGCUUAACCGAACUGGAGCUGCCUUUUUUUUGAAUCAAC